GGACAUUUGGUCUAGUUGUAUGAUUCUAUCUUUCGGUGUGAGAGGUCCCGAGUUCGAUUCUCAGAAUGCCCC
rfam:Picea glauca, whole genome shotgun sequence.